rnacentral:sRNA from 1 species
GCCAGGCACGGUGGCACAUGCCUGUAAUUCCAGCAGCUUGGGAGGCUGAGGUAGGAGGAUCAUAAGUUCGAAGCCAGCCUCAGCAUCAGAGAUGUGCUAAGCAACUCAUUGAGACCCUGUCUCUA